rnacentral:lncRNA from 1 species
AGAGCAGAUUGCCAUUGUAGACGCUCAGUACAUGGUCCAUUGUGCAGUUCCCAUGCUCCAGGGCAAGGUAAUUGUAAGUUUUUCUUGUAAGCUUAAACUUCUCCAAAAUUGAUGUCUCCUUGCGUGCUCUAUUUUUCAUAUGCUCACCACUUUGAAGCUCCUCUUCUCCUCCAGGGUGACAAAGAAAAGCCAGGAGGCCGUUUUGAGGUAUGUAUAUCACUCACUCUUGAGAAGAAUGGUAGUUUUUUUAAGCAGAUGAGAAUAAUAUUUGGUUUUAAUUUGUUGGGUAUAUGUGUUAAAAAUUAGUUGGGUAUAUUGUUCAUUUUUUUCUGAGAAAUAGAAUAACUCUAGUUUUGCUUGAAUUAGAAAAGAAACAUUCCAAUUAAUAUUUGCUUAAAAUAGUUUGCCAUUGUCGCACAAGGAUAAGGACUAUUGAAGAAUUCAAGUGGAAAUUUGUUCCUUUAUGAUAUUAUCCUCUUUGCUAGUUCUUUUAUAUGUACUGACAUAUAAACCAUUAAUGUUUUUUGUAGAACGGAUGGCCCACCUUAAAAGUAACAUCACGAGGCAUUGUAGUCAUUGGUGAAGAAUGAUAAGGACUUGUGAUGGUGUCUCAUGAGUGAAGAGAAAAUAUUUACUGGUUGUUACUUGAUUUUUUUUGGUACAAAUGAACAUCUAUAUUGAUUGUUCUGGAUAGUGUUUUUGGUUAGUAAUUUCGCAAUGGUUUUUUAUCUCCAGAUAUGUAUGUGGGGAAUUAGAGACAUUGCGAGGACCAGCAUUAAGUAAGGCGGAAUUGGUUUCUAAACUACAAGCUUGUGAGCAAGCAAGGCAAGUGCUCGAAGGAACGUUCAAUGGCAUGGUGCAAGAGGUGUUAGAAAUUAAGUGUAUUGUAUCUGGUAUAUUAGUAAGUGAUAGUUCUCAUGGAAGCCAACUUGAAGUUUCUUAAAGGAUAUUUUAAUGUAUGUCAGAAUAUUGGUAUUUUUAUUAAUAAAAGAGGCUAUGAUCCUUUCAAACCAUAUUCUCUUGUUUUUAUAUUAAUAUGGAUGUUAAUAUUGAAAUGUUGGAUGCUGCAUAAAGUG